rnacentral:rRNA from 1 species
AUUGAACGCUGGCGGCAUGCCUAACACAUGCAAGUCGAACGGCAGCGGGUUUAGUAGCAAUACUAAAUGCCGGCGAGUGGCGGACGGGUGAGUAAAGCAUAGAGAUCUGCCUUAUAGAGGAGGAUAACUUGGGGAAACUCGAGCUAAUACUGCGUAAGUUCUACGGAAGAAAGGUUGGGACCGAAAGGCCAGCCGCUAUAAGAUGAGUCUAUGUCGGAUUAGUUAGUUGGUGGGGUAAAGGCUUACCAAGACGAAGAUCCGUAGCUGGUCUGAGAGGAUGAUCAGCCACACUGGGACUGAGACACGGCCCAGACUCCUACGGGAGGCAGCAGUGGGGAAUAUUGGACAAUGGGGGCAACCCGUGAUCCAGCGAUGCCGCGUGUGUGAAGAAGGCCUGGCGGGUUGUAAAGCACUUUAGUUGGGGAAGAAAGUUGAAUGGUUAAGAGGCUGUUUGACAUGACGUUACCCAAAGAAUAAGACACCGGCUAACUCUGUGCC